rnacentral:rRNA from 1 species
AUGGAAGGUGCCGCCGUUCUCGCCCUCGCCAUCGUCGUCGUAGUAGCCGGUGGCGUGCGACCGCACAGAGCGGAGGCCGUCGAUGUUGAUGCCGACGUGGUUGUUGUCAAUGUCGUCGAACUCGAUGUUCUGCAUGGUGUCGAGCUCGGCGGAGAAGAUGCGGUUGCUGGCGUUGCCGUUGUUGUCGAUGUUGGCGAGGCCCAUGUACUGCGCGGCCAGCGCGGCGGAGAAGUUGCUGCUGGGCGCGACGACGAAGGCGAUGCCGUGGCAGCUGAGGUUCGGGUAGGUGGUGAGGAUGCCGAACGCGAAGGAGGCCGAGAAGGACCGCACCGCGCUGCCGCCGCGCGACCCGCGCAGGCGGAACGGAGCCGGGAAGAACGCGUGGCCUUUGAGCUGCACCGUGCCGUUGGUCAGCUCGAGGAGGCCGUCCGUAGUGAUCGUGGCCGUGCCGUCGAGGGUGAGGUUGGCGCCGGCGAAGCCGGAGAAGACGAAGCGGUCGUCAUCAGCAGCGGCGCCCAUGGCCACGCGAUGGAUGAGGCCAUGGAAGAGAAGGAUCGGCAGCAGCAAGUGAAACAUCCCCAUGCGCAGAGCUACAAGCUGGAAUAG